UACGAAGGGGACUAGCGUUGUUCGGAUUUACUGGGCGUAAAGCGCGCGUGGGCGGAUCGCUAAGUCAGGGGUGAAAUCCCAGGGCUCAACCCUGGAACUGCCUUUGAUACUGACGAUCUGGAGAUCGGGAGAGGUUGGUGGAAUUCCGAGUGUAGAGGUGAAAUUCGUAGAUAUUCGCAAGAACACCAGUGGCGAAGGCGGCUCACUGGCCCGGUACUGACGCUGAGGUGCGAAAGCGUGGGGAGCAAACAGG
rnacentral:rRNA from 1 species